CGGGGGGGGGCUAAACAUGCAAGUCGAGCGGUAGCACAGAGAGCUUGCUCUCGGGUGACGAGCGGCGGACGGGUGAGUAAUGUCUGGGAAACUGCCUGAUGGAGGGGGAUAACUACUGGAAACGGUAGCUAAUACCGCAUAAUGUCGCAAGACCAAAGUGGGGGACCUUCGGGCCUCAUGCCAUCAGAUGUGCCCAGAUGGGAUUAGCUAGUAGGUGGGGUAACGGCUCACCUAGGCGACGAUCCCUAGCUGGUCUGAGAGGAUGACCAGCCACACUGGAACUGAGACACGGUCCAGACUCCUACGGGAGGCAGCAGUGGGGAAUAUUGCACAAUGGGCGCAAGCCUGAUGCAGCCAUGCCGCGUGUGUGAAGAAGGCCUUCGGGUUGUAAAGCACUUUCAGCGGGGAGGAAGGCGUUAAGGUUAAUAACCUUGUCGAUUGACGUUACCCGCAGAAGAAGCACCGGCUAACUCCGUGCCAGCAGCCGCGGUAAUACGGAGGGUGCAAGCGUUAAUCGGAAUUACUGGGCGUAAAGCGCACGCAGGCGGUCUGUCAAGUCGGAUGUGAAAUCCCCGGGCUCAACCUGGGAACUGCAUUCGAAACUGGCAGGCUAGAGUCUUGUAGAGGGGGGUAGAAUUCCAGGUGUAGCGGUGAAAUGCGUAGAGAUCUGGAGGAAUACCGGUGGCGAAGGCGGCCCCCUGGACAAAGACUGACGCUCAGGUGCGAAAGCGUGGGGAGCAAACAGGAUUAGAUACCCUGGUAGUCCACGCCGUAAACGAUGUCGAUUUGGAGGUUGUGCCCUUGAGGCGUGGCUUCCGGAGCUAACGCGUUAAAUCGACCGCCUGGGGAGUACGGCCGCAAGGUUAAAACUCAAAUGAAUUGACGGGGGCCCGCACAAGCGGUGGAGCAUGUGGUUUAAUUCGAUGCAACGCGAAGAACCUUACCUGGUCUUGACAUCCACAGAACUUACCAGAGAUGCAUUGGUGCCUUCGGGAACUGUGAGACAGGUGCUGCAUGGCUGUCGUCAGCUCGUGUUGUGAAAUGUUGGGUUAAGUCCCGCAACGAGCGCAACCCUUAUCCUUUGUUGCCAGCGGUUCAGGCCGGGAACCCAAAGGAGACUGCCAGUGAUAAACUGGAGGAAGUUGGG
rnacentral:rRNA from 1 species